CCCUUAGAUGUUCUGGGCCGCACGCGCGCUACACUGACUGGUGCAACAAGUGUCUGACCUUGGCUCGAGAGGCCUGGGCAACCUUUGAACGCCAGUCGUGCUGGGGAUAGAUUCUUGCAAUUAUUAAUCUUCAACGAGGAAUUCCUAGUAAACGCAAGUCAUCAGCUUGCAUUGAUUACGUCCCUGCCCUUUGUACACACCGCCCGUCGCACCUACCGAUUGAACGUUUUAGUGAGGUACUCGGACUGAGCCUCAGAAGAUUCACGUCUUUUGUGCUGCUCGGGAAGAUUCCCAAACUUGAGCGUUUAGAGGAAGUAAAAGUCGUAACA
rnacentral:rRNA from 1 species